UACGAAGGGGGCUAGCGUUGCUCGGAAUCACUGGGCGUAAAGCGCACGUAGGCGGACUCUUAAGUCGGUGGUGAAAUCCUGGAGCUCAACUCCAGAACUGCCUUUGAUACUGGGGAUCUCGAGUCCGGGAGAGGUGAGUGGAACUGCGAGUGUAGAGGUGAAAUUCGUAGAUAUUCGCAAGAACACCAGUGGCGAAGGCGGCUCACUGGCCCGGUACUGACGCUGAGGUGCGAAAGCGUGGGGAGCAAACAGG
rnacentral:rRNA from 1 species